rnacentral:rRNA from 1 species
GUCAGCAGCCAUACAACCUGCAGUUGGGCCUAGAUAACCCACCUGAAGUUAAGCAGGUUUGGGCCUGGCCAGUACUUGGAUGGGAGACCAGCUGGGAAUGAUGAAGAGGGUUCCGGAGC